rnacentral:rRNA from 1 species
UAGGGAAUCUUCGGCAAUGGGGGGCAACCCUGACCGAGCAACGCCGCGUGAGUGAAGAAGGUUUUCGGAUCGUAAAGCUCUGUUGUAAGAGAAGAACGUGUGUGAGAGUGGAAAGUUCACACAGUGACGGUAACUUACCAGAAAAGGACGGCUAACUACGUGCCGG